rnacentral:rRNA from 1 species
GUAGGGGGGCAAGCGUUGUCCGGAUUCAUUGGGCGUAAAGCGCGUGUAGGCGGUUCAAUAGGGGUCCGAUGUGAAAACUCGAGGGCUCAACUUCGAGAGGCCAUCGGAAACCAUUGGACUAGAGUCCCGGAAGAGGAGAGUGGAAUUCCUGGUGUAGCGGUGAAAUGCGCAGAUAUCAGGAAGAACACCGAUGGCGAAGGCAGCUCUCUGGGACGGUACUGACGCUAAGACGCGAAAGCGUGGGGAGCGAACAGGAUUAGAUACCCUGGUAGUCCACGCCGUAAACGAUGGGCACUAGGUGUGGGUGGUGUCGACUCCAUCCGUGCCGCAGCUAACGCAUUAAGUGCCCCGCCUGGGGAGUACGGCCGCAAGGCU